CCUACGGGUGGCUGCAGUGGGGGAUAUUGGACAAUGGGGGAAACCCUGAUCCAGCGACGCCGCGUGAGUGAAUAAGUAUUUCGGUAUGUAAAGCUCUAUCAGCAGGGAAGAAAGAAAUGACGGUACCUUAAUAAGAAGCCCCGGCUAACUACGUGCCAGCAGCCGCGGUAAUACGUAGGGGGCAAGCGUUAUCCGGAAUUACUGGGUGUAAAGGGAGCGUAGACGGUAAUGCAAGUCUGGAGUGAAAGGCGGGGGCCCACCCCCCGGACUGCUCUGGAAACUGUGUAGCUGGAGUGCAGGAGAGGAAGGCGGAAUUCCUAGUGUAGCGGUGAAAUGCGUAGAUAUUAGGAGGAACACCAGUGGCGAAGGCGGCCUGCUGGACUGUAACUGACGUUGAGGCUCGAAAGCGUGGGGAGCAAACAGGAUUAGAUACCCGUGUAGUC
rnacentral:rRNA from 1 species